rnacentral:rRNA from 1 species
AUUGAACGCUGGCGGCAGGCCUAACACAUGCAAGUCGAGCGGAUGAAGGGAGCUUGCUCCUGGAUUCAGCGGCGGACGGGUGAGUAAUGCCUAGGAAUCUGCCUGGUAGUGGGGGAUAACGUCCGGAAACGGGCGCUAAUACCGCAUACGUCCUGAGGGAGAAAGUGGGGGAUCUUCGGACCUCACGCUAUCAGAUGAGCCUAGGUCGGAUUAGCUAGUUGGUGGGGUAAAGGCCUACCAAGGCGACGAUCCGUAACUGGUCUGAGAGGAUGAUCAGUCACACUGGAACUGAGACACGGUCCAGACUCCUACGGGAGGCAGCAGUGGGGAAUAUUGGACAAAGGGCGAAAGCCUGAUCCAGCAAUGCCGCGUGUGUGAAGAAGGUCUUCGGAUUGUAAAGCACUUUAAGUUGGGAGGAAGGGCAGUAAGUUAAUACCUUGCUGUUUUGACGUUACCAACAGAAUAAGCAACGGCUAACUUCGUG